CACGUAGGGCGCGAGCGUUGUCCGGAAUUAUUGGGCGUAAAGAGCUCGUAGGCGGCCUGUUGCGUCCGCUGUGAAAGCCCGGGGCUUAACCCCGGGUCUGCAGUGGAUACGGGCAGGCUAGAGUGCGGUAGGGGAGAUUGGAAUUCCCGGUGUAGCGGUGAAAUGCGCAGAUAUCGGGAAGAACACCCGUGGCGAAGGCGGCACUCUGGGACGGUACUGACGCUGAGACGCGAAAGCGUGGGGAGCAAACAGGG
rnacentral:rRNA from 1 species